rnacentral:rRNA from 1 species
UACAGAGGGUGCGAGCGUUGUUCGGAAUUAUUGGGCGUAAAGGGCGCGUAGGCGGUGCGGUAAGUCACCUGUGAAAUCUCCUGGCUCAACUGGGAGCUUGCAGGCGAAACUGCCGUGCUGGAGUGUGGGAGAGGUGCGUGGAAUUCCUGGUGUAGCGGUGAAAUGCGUAGAUAUCAGGAGGAACACCUGUGGCGAAAGCGGCGCACUGGACCACAACUGACGCUGAGGCGCGAAAGCUAGGGGAGCGAACGGG